rnacentral:rRNA from 1 species
UGUGGUUUAAUUCGAAGCAACGCGAAGAACCUUACCAGGUCUUGACAUCCCCUGACAACCCAAGAGAUUGGGCGUUCCCCCUUCGGGGGGACAGGGUGACAGGUGGUGCAUGGCUGUCGUCAGCUCGUGUCGUGAGAUGUUGGGUUAAGUCCCGCAACGAGCGCAACCCUUACCCUUAGUUGUUUUCCCGAAAGGAUUACCCUCUAAGGGGACUGCCCCGGACAACGGGGAGGAAGGUGGGGAUGACGUCAAGUCCGCAUGCUCCUUACGUCUAGGGCUACACACGUCCUACAAUGGGGUCGACAGUGGGAUGCAAAGCCGCGAGGUGGAGCCAAUCCCCAAACGGCCUCUCAGUUCGGAUAGUAGUCUGCAACUCGACUACUUGAAGUCGGAAUCGCUAGUAAUCGUGGAUCAGAAUGUCACGGUGAAUACGUUCCCGGGUCUU